rnacentral:rRNA from 1 species
UGGGGAAUAUUGGACAAUGGGCGCAAGCCUGAUCCAGCCAUGCCGCGUGAGUGAUGACGGCCUUAGGGUUGUAAAGCUCUUUCGCUCGGGACGAUAAUGACGGUACCGAGAUAAGAAGCCCCGGCUAACUUCGUGCCAGCAGCCGCGGUAAUACGAAGGGGGCUAGCGUUGUUCGGAAUUACUGGGCGUAAAGCGCGUGUAGGCGGGCUUUUAAGUCAGGGGUGAAAUGCCGAGGCUCAACCUCGGAACUGCCUUUGAUACUGGAAGUCUUGAGUCCGGGAGAGGUGAGUGGAACUGCGAGUGUAGAGGUGAAAUUCGUAGAUAUUCGCAAGAACACCAGUGGCGAAGGCGGCUCACUGGCCCGGAACUGACGCUGAGACGCGAAAGCGUGGGGAGCAAACAGGAUUAGAUACCCUGGUAGUCCACGCUGUAAACGAUGGAUGCUAGCCGUUGGGGAGCUUGCUCUUCAGUGGCGCCGCUAACGCAUUAAGCAUCCCGCCUGGGGAGUACGGUCGCAAGA